rnacentral:rRNA from 1 species
AGAGUUUGAUCAUGGCUCAGAAUCAACGCUGGCGGCGUGCCUAACACAUGCAAGUCGAACGCGAAAGGGGCUUCGGCCCUGAGUAGAGUGGCGAACGGGUGAGUAACACGUGGGUGACCUACCUUCGAAUGGGGGAUAACGUCCCGAAAGGGACGCUAAUACCGCAUAACAUCCUGCCUUUGAACAGGUGGAGAUCAAAGCUGGGGAUCGCAAGACCUGGCGUUUGAAGAGGGGCCCGCGUCCGAUUAGCUAGUUGGUGAGGUAAUGGCUCACCAAGGCAACGAUCGGUAGCCGGCCUGAGAGGGCGGACGGCCACACUGGGACUGAGACACGGCCCAGACUCCUACGGGAGGCAGCAGUGGGGAAUUGUUCGCAAUGGGCGCAAGCCUGACGACGCAACGCCGCGUGGAGGAUGAAGGUCUUCGGAUUGUAAACUCCUGUUGCCCGGGACGAAAUGCUUCGACCUAACACGUCGAAGUUUGACGGUACCGGGUGAGGAAGCCCCGGCUAACUCUGUGCCAGCAGCCGCGGUAAUUC